UACAGAGGUCCCAAGCGUUGUUCGGAUUCACUGGGCGUAAAGGGUGCGUAGGUGGCGAGGUAAGUCGGAUGUGAAAGCUCGGAGCUCAACUCCGAAAUGGCAUUGGAAACUACCUUGCUCGAGGGUUGGAGGGGGGACUGGAAUUCUCGGUGUAGCAGUGAAAUGCGUAGAUAUCGAGAGGAACACCAGUGGCGAAGGCGAGUCCCUGGACAACUCCUGACACUGAGGCACGAAGGCCAGGGGAGCAAACGGG
rnacentral:rRNA from 1 species